rnacentral:rRNA from 1 species
CCUACGGGUGGCAGCAGUGGGAAUAUUGCAAAAUGGGGGAAACCCUGAUGCAGCGACGCCGCGGGAGUGAAGAAGUAAUUCGGUAUGGAAAGCUCUAUCAGCAGGGAAGAAAAUGACGGUACCUGAGUAAGGAGCCCCGGCUAACUACGGGCCAGCAGCCGCGGUAAUACGUAGGGGGCAAGCGUUAUCCGGAUUUACUGGGUGUAAAGGGGGCGUAGACGGCAGUGCAAGUCUGGAGUGAAAGGCGGGGGCUCAACCCCCGGACUGCUCUGGAAACUGUACGGCUGGAGUGCAGGAGAGGUAAGUGGAAUUCCUAGUGUAGCGGUGAAAUGCGUAGAUAUUAGGAGGAACACCAGUGGCGAAGGCGGCUUACUGGACUGUAACUGACGUUGAGGCUCGAAAGCGUGGGGAGCAAACAGGAUUAGAUACCCCUGUAGUC